rnacentral:rRNA from 1 species
AUGUGUGUCCCUGAUCUUUGUGUCCUCAAGAGUGUUGUGUCAGGUUAUAAAGGUUAUAACUUGGUGGAAAUAGUUGCACGUAGGUUGCAUAAUAAUAGUAGAAAGGGGAAUUUAUUUGGAGGAAGUUAUGCAACCCGUGUGGCUAAUUAUCUUAAUACAGCCCCACGAGAGGGGGAUAUGAUUUUACCUCCUGUUUAUUUUGAUAAAGAAGCUAUGUUCAAUCAUCAAUUUCUUGAGAGGAAUGAACAAUUCCUCCAUUAUCGACUAAUCUAUGACAGACGCAACGUCGUCCCUGUUACUCUUCCUGCUCCCUACCUUUUUGAUUAUCAGGAAAAAGGAAGAUAUGUUGUCACCAGGGAGGAAGCAGCUGAAUACGAGAGGGGAAGGGAGGCAGCUCGCCAACACGCUGCUGCUUAG